rnacentral:rRNA from 1 species
UACGUAGGGUGCAAGCGUUAAUCGGAAUUACUGGGCGUAAAGCGUGCGCAGGCGGUUAUGUAAGACAGAUGUGAAAUGCCCGGGCUUAACCUGGGAACUGCAUUUGUGACUGCAUGGCUAGAGUUUGGCAGAGGGGGGUAGAAUUCCACGUGUAGCAGUGAAAUGCGUAGAUAUGUGGAGGAACACCGAUGGCGAAGGCAGCCCCCUGGGUCAAGACCUGACGC